rnacentral:rRNA from 1 species
UAAUACAGAGGGUGCAAGCGUUAUUCGAAAUUAUUGGGCGUAAAGCGCGAGCAGGCGGCGAUGUAAGUCUUGUGUGAAAUCUUCGGGCUCAACCCGGAAAAGUCAUGAGAAACUGCAUUGCUAGAGUAGAUGAGAGGAGAGCGGAAUUCCCAGUGUAGUGGUGAAAUACGUAGAUAUUGGGAGGAACACCGGUGGCGAAAGCGGCUCUCUGGCAUCUCACUGACGCUCAUUCGCGAAAGCGUGGGGAUCAAACAGGAUUAGAUACCCUGGUAGUCCACGCAGUAAACGAUGUGAACUAGUUGUUGGAGGAUAUUGACCCCUUCAGUGACGCAGCUAACGCAUUAAGUUCACCGCCUGGGGAGUACGAUCGCAAGAUUA